rnacentral:rRNA from 1 species
UGGCUGGUGUUCUAACGUAGACCCGUUACCCGGGUUGCGGACAGUGUCUGGUGGGUAGUUUGACUGGGGCGGUCUCCUCCCAAAGAGUAACGGAGGAGCACGAAGGUUGGCUAAUCCUGGUCGGACAUCAGGAGGUUAGUGCAAUGGCAUAAGCCAGCUUGACUGCGAGCGUGACGGCGCGAGCAGGUGCGAAAGCAGGUCAUAGUGAUCCGGUGGUUCUGAAUGGAAGGGCCAUCGCUCAACGGAUAAAAGGUACUCCGGGGAUAACAGGCUGAUACCGCCCAAGAGUUCAUAUCGACGGCGGUGUUUGGCACCUCGAUGUCGGCUCAUCACAUCCUGGGGCUGAAGUAGGUCCCAAGGGUAUGGCUGUUCGCCAUUUAAAGUGGUACGCGAGCUGGGUUUAGAACGUCGUGAGACAGUUCGGUCCCUAUCUGCCGUGGGCGCUGGAGAAUUGAGGGGGGCUGCUCCUAGUACGAGAGGACCGGAGUGGACGCAUCACUGGUGUUCGGGUUGUCAUGCCAAUGGCACUGCCCGGUAGCUAAAUGCGGAAGAGAUAAGUGCUGAAAGCAUCUAAGCACGAAACUUGCCCC